rnacentral:rRNA from 1 species
AGAGGUAAGAGGUACUACAGGGGUAGGAGUGAAAUCUUGUAAUCCCUGUGGGACCACCUGUGGCGAAGGCGUCUUACCAGAACGGGUUCGACGGUGAGGGACGAAAGCUGGGGGCACGAACCGGAUUAGAUACCCGGGUAGUCCCAGCCGUAAACGGAUGCUCGCUACGGUGUCAGGCAUGGCGCGACCGUGUCUGGUGCCGCAGGGAAGCCGUGAAGCGAGCCACCUGGGAAGUACGGCCGCAAGGCUGAAACUUAAAGGAAUUGGCGGGGGAGCACAACAACGGGUGGAAGCCUGCGGUUUAAUUGGACUCAACGCCGGACAACUCACCGGGGGCGACAGCAAUAUGUAGGCCAAGCUGAAGACUUUGCCUGAAUCGCUGAGUGGAGGUGCAUGG